rnacentral:rRNA from 1 species
CCUACGGGGGGCUGCAGUGGGGGAUAUUGCACAAUGGGGGGAACCCUGAUGCAGCGACGCCGCGUGGGUGAAGGAGCGUUUCGGCGCGUAAAGCCCUAUCGGCAGGGAAGAAGAUGACGGUACCUGACCAAGAAGCCCCGGCUAAAUACGUGCCAGCAGCCGCGGGAAUACGUAGGGGGCACGCGUUAUCCGGAUUUACUGGGGGGAAAGGGGGCGCAGACGGCAAUGCAAGCCAGGAGUGAAAGCCCGGGGACCAACCCCGGGACUGCUCUUGGAACUGGAAGGCUGGAGUGCAGGAGGGGCUGGCGGAAUUCCUGGUGUAGCGGUGAAAUGCGUAGAUAUUAGGAGGAACACCGGUGGCGAAGGCGACCUGCUGGACUGUAACUGACGUUGAGGCCCGAAGGCGUGGGGAGCAAACAGGAUUAGAUACCCUAGUAGUC